ensembl:lncRNA
CUCCAUGGUCAACAUUUUUGGUUUGCAAAGCUCACCUUAAGAUCCACACCACAUCUUCUAACAGCAAGUACUUACAGUGCUCCCUUGUAUGUGUUUGUGAUCAGCACUGGUUAUUUUUGAAAAUACCUCCAGUCCUCUAAUGUGUUCUUCCAAUGGUGUAUUCCUCAGAGGAGGCUCUGAUAGCGAUAUAGCCCAAACCCUAUAUAUAUAUCUAUGGGUAAAGCCAUUUCACGGUGAUUAAAAAGAGAGCGUCAAUUGAAAAUGGGAAGAGUUAAAAUUUUGAGGAAUUCAUCCCCUCCAUCUGUACAUAAAGCCAUUAGGUAGGGUCAAUUACACACACUGUCCAGCAUCUCUCAUUGCUGUGCUCAGGAGUGCUGGGGACAUCCCAUCCCAUCAUACCCUGUCCCAUCACAUUGAAUCCCAUCCCAUCUCACCCCAUCCUUUUGGUCCCUGUGGCCAUUCACUCUGAACCCAGAAGUCAGGGCCAUGCCAGUGCUCCCAGAGGAGCCCCUAUCAGGACUGCAUCUCCGCUCAUGCCUGGUUUUGCCAUGUCUGAAUGUUCAGUGGUCUGGAAAGGCUACCAAAGCCUUGUGUCAUGUAGUUCCCCAGAUUAAAAGGAGAGGGUUUUCUGGAGAGAUUUUGGGAUAAAUCCUUGUGGUCAUAUCUGUCUUUUUUUUUUUUCUAUUUAGUGAUCCUAUGUUAAGCCCUUAUGUUCACCAAGGGCAGGUGAACCUUAUGUUCAUCUAGGAGCAGGAAUGAGCUUAAGGCAGGGCCUGUGUUAUGCAGGUGAUGCGUAAGUGCCAGUGCCUCCCAGAACACCAUGUGCUAUGAGAUGGCGUGAGUGCUUAUCAUUUAAAGACAAACUUUCAAGACGAAUCAGGACCAAAAGUGCUGCCAGGAGGGAUAACGCUAUGGUUAAGGCAUGACUAUACUGUCUUCUCCAAACCUGUUUGGUCCGCUCAUUCCCGCCUGUAACUGCUGGAAAACACACAUGGCUUCUGCUGUUACACAGCAGGUAUAUACAAGGUGAAGCACCUGAAAGUGGCCUUCAACCAACGCAGAGAAUCUCCUGAAAUAGAAGCUGAAAGCAUUUGUUUUCAGUGAUAUGUGGACACUGGAAUAGACUCUUUCUGAAUGCCCAUCAGUUAAAUCUUUCACGUCAGGGAGGUGGAGCUGCAGAAAUGCCCAGCCUGUUGCUACAAGGACAUUACAAACCUCCUCCUCCGUGAACUGCAGCAGUUGGGAAAGGCUCCAGGUUUUCCUAAGGAAACACCACAGUGAUAUACACCUUCAAGCUGGGUGUAACUCUGUCACCACUAAAUCAUGUCAGGCCCCAUACAGGGCAAUCUGUUAAUAGCCUACUGGUUGUAUGAAACUUGCAAAAUUCAAGUGCCACCCAGAAAAUGUUUUGCAAGUGAACGCCGUCUUCAGCUGUUGAGAUUUUCUCCCUUCCUAUAAAACUGCCUAUAAAAGACAUUCCAUGCAUAUUUUAAUGUAUUUACUUACUUAAAUAGACCAAUAAUUGGAGAUUGGGAAAAAUUUCUUCUCAGAAGGAGUGGUGAGGCGUUGGAACAGGCUGCCAGGGAGGUGGUGGAGUCACCAUCCCUGGGGGUGUUCAAGAAACGCGUGGAUGUGGCACUGAGGGAUGUGGUCAGUGGGCAUGGUGGGAGUGGGCUGACAGUUGGACUUGGGGACCUUAGAGGUCUUUUCCAACCUUAAUGAUUCUAUGAUUCUACGAAAACUAAACUAAUCCUAAGGAUGAGACCAGCAAUGAGUGUUCCAUCAUUUAAAAAAAAAAAAAAAAAGGUCGAGAUCAAAGGUUUUUCUGAUGUAUAAUCUUUCUUACCUUCCACUGGACACAAGUGGAAGUGGAUUCUGCUGGGCUUGUAUGGAUUUGUGGGCUAAGGAAAAAUGUUUCUUUUGCUGCCAAAUUUCCAGCCUCAACUGAACUUCUGACUCAAAUAUUCAGACUGCAUUGUAAAUGGCUGGAAAAAAAAAAAAAGAAAGAAAAGGAAAUACAGUUGACUCCUUAUCUUUUGCUGAGUCUAUUGCCAAUCUCUUUCCAAAGCAUCCUCCAUAACCAUUAGGGCUACUUUAUCAGUACAAUAAAGAGUAACAGGUAUCAGAUGAGGCUUCAAAACCGGAGGUCCUGGCUUUCUUAAAAUAAAGAGCAUUAGUAAGCUACAAUGGAGACCGUUCUUAAUUUGGUUGCUUCCAUUACUUAAAUAGCAGAGGGCACAAAGAGAACAGCAAGUAACAAGCAAUGAGCACAAUCCAUGGAUUUUUUUAUUUGCCUUAUUCCUCAGUUCUGAAGGAAGUGAUGAUAAAGCUAAG